rnacentral:misc_RNA from 1 species
UCUCCGUAGGUGAACCUGCGGAGGGAUCAUUACAGAGUUCAUGCCCUACCGGGUAGAUCUCCCACCCUAUGUUAUUAUUACUUUGUUGCUUUGGCGGGCCGUUAGGCUCCGGCCCGACAACCGGCCCCGGCUGGUAAGCGCCCGCCAGAGGACCCAAAACCCUGAAUAUUAGUGUCGUCUGAGUACUAUAUAAUAGUUAAAACUUUCAACAACGGAUCUCUUGGUUCUG